rnacentral:rRNA from 1 species
AUGAAGAGGCGACGCAGGCGUGCUCCUGCUCCGUCGGAAUCGGAUAUCCAGCGCAUUUUAGACGAAUGUUUCAUCCUCCUGUUCGAGACACCCUCUGGCUUUGCACUUUUUCAUUCUGCUUUGUCACUCAUUAACCGACCAGAUUCUAUGGAGGACAUAUGGUCUUAUUUCAUCUAUGAUUGCAUGGCAAAACUUGCUAUUACGCUGAAAGAGUUUCAAACUUUUGAGGACAAGUCCAGUGCCAUUAAUCAAAACAGUGGUGUCAACGAAAGGCUUACUCAGAUGAUCAGGACGUGGAUCGGCGGGAAGAAACUGGCAGUUGGAAAGCCUGAAUAUAAGGAAAUUAUUGAAGAGAGAUUGAAAAUAGACUGCCUGUAUAAUCCAGCAGUGAUGGAGGUGAUGUGGGGUAUACAGAAUUGCAUGCCAAGUUUGGUGCCUGGAGAAAAAUCACAGCUGGCUGAAGAGGACCGCGUCCCGAUGAGUAAGGGAUUGCGAAAAGUCUUGAAGCGUUAUGACUGUAAUGUCAAAACAAAGAUUGUCAGCAAGCAAAUUAUUGAGAUGGCUGCCGCCUUGUUUAAGUGUGAUUCGGCUGUGAAGGAUAAUUCUAGAGCCAUGCGGAGGGCAGGUGAUACCAUUAUUGCUAUUUCUGGCAUCAGCUGUGUGAGGGUUGGAGCUUACUGGAAAUUGCAACAGCUCUGA